rnacentral:lncRNA from 1 species
GUCUCUUCCGGUGUGGCUUCGUGCGGCCCCCUUCUCUUUUUCUCGAAAGAAGGAUUUCGGCCGUUGGAAUCUGUCUUCGCGCCCCAUCGCUCCAGGAACCUGGCCAUCCCGCUUCAUUGUGAGCAGUGGGUGGAAUUUGAUGGAGCAGGAAAGUCCCAGGGAAUUUAAGUCAUCCAGAUUAAGGAGAAUGAAUCUCGUCAUUUUCCACUUUGAUGCAUAAGUUUCCCUGACGUGUCCUUGGAAUCGCAGAAGAAUUUGGUCACAUAUUUUACCAUCAGACUAAAGAGAUGGACUUGACUAGUUUGUCCUGUGAAAGUCUGCUUUCUGGUGACCAGAACUGCAGUCAAGGAGAAGAGACAGAGGGAGAAAGCAUGCUGGCUGAUUGCCUGAAAAACUGUAAUAAGGUAUGAGGAACUAUUGCAUCCGUCUUUCCAUGUAGACAGACUUAUCUCCCAGGAUUCCCGAGAAGGGUAAAGCCCCUGACGAGGACUAAUUAUCCAGAAGAGGCUUUUCACAUUGCUAUAAUGCUGUGUUUAUAGUCAUUCCUAGUUAGUCUUGACCAUUGCAGUGCCAAAUACCAGGGGCUUUGACAGUGUUCUUAAAGAUAAUAAAGCAUACAUAUUACUCUAUU